UAAAACAAAAGAAAAAAUGAAAACCAUAACCAAUGAUAAAACAAAAGAAAAAAACGAAAACACCCUGCCUUCUCUUUCACUACCCGACUGCCUUCUCUUUCCCUUUCACGAAUACCUUUCCCUCUCACGAAUACCGGACCUUCCUCCCACCAGACCUUCCUCUUCUCUGCCUUUUCCUUAGCCCGAUUCUCUGCCUCAAAAAAAAAAGAAAACCAUAACCAAUAAUAAAACAAAAAAAAAAAAAAAAUGAAAACACCCGACUGCCCAGAUUCUGUCAUGCAAGCCUCUCCUUCCCCGAAAAUCAAAACCCUCUCCUUCCCCAAAAUCAAAACCCAAAAACCCAAAACUCAGAUGCCGCCGGUGUCAUCAAGGAAGCUAUGAGCAAAAACCCUCUCCUUCCCCAAAAUCAAAACCCAAAAACCCAAAACUCAGAUGUCGCCGAUGUCAUCGAGGAAGCUAUGAGCAAUCUAACGCAGCCUCUGAAGCAGGAUUGAUGUAGGAGAAGGAAAAAAGGUCAAUCAUGAGAGAUGUUCUAGAUCGAAGCUUCAGCUGCAAUGCAUCAGAUAUCUUGGUCCAGCAAAAAGGAAGGCUUAUGAAGUUGUGGUUCAAGAUGGGAAACUUAUCUUCAACCAUAGUGGAGAAUUCCUUCACACAGUAGGAGGUAUCAAAAGUUCAUUCUCUUGGGGUCAUAUGUACCUGUUUGUUCAUUAUAUUUGCUUUUACUCUUAACAUAUUCGGAUUUGAGACGAAUAUAUCUGAAAAUGUCUGCUGGGAUCGCAUCUAGAUCGGGAGGACUCAUGAAAUUUCUUUGGCCUAGACUUCAGCCUAUCGAUGUUCAGUCUGCUGCCUUGUGGGGUGUCGCCGCCACCACCACUGCUCUUUGGAUCGUUCAGAACACGAGAAUGGAGAAACCCAAUCUGGACGAAUUCUACCACGUAUUUACCAGUUGCGCAGUCAAAAUUCAUCGACUACCGCAUGAUGGGUGAUGGUUCCAAGUGUGAAAGCUGGAAAGAAUUCAAGACAAGUUGUUUAGGGAAUUUCGUGAAGAAUUUUGUGAGGAAGAGCCUGGGCCAAGGUGUAAGGCUGUAUUGUUCCCUCCAAAUCAAGUCUUUUAUGGGCUAGAAUAUGCAGGUCUUUUAUGGGCUGGAAUAUGCAGGUCCUUUAAAUUUUAUCAAUUUUUUCCUGGUCGAUGCAUCUUCUGGCUCUCAUGCAUACGGUGCUGAAGCAAAUGCAUCUUCUACAUCAAAUGUUGACAAGCUUCAUCAAGAAAUCUCAGUUCGUUCACUAAUAGUCAUAAUUCCAUUGAUUAUUGUGUGGACACACACACAUAUUCGUUGGAGUAUUUUCAAGAAAAUCCAAAGAGGAGGUACAAGAGAAGAAGAUGUUGCUGGAAAAGCUACAAGUCAGAAUGAAUGAAUCAGAAGCAAAGGCCAAGAAGCUUAUAAUGUCAUUCGAGAAUCUUCUCAAAAAGAAACCCGAGGGAGUUAUGAAGGCAAUAAAUGUGAACAAGAUGACAUCUGCUGGGUGUAGAGUGAAAAUAUGGAUUGUAGAUUGGUUUGCCCAGCUAACCAAUAAGAUGGGAGGUGAGUUGAAGAAAAUUGAUGUUGUUGGCCGCUACCUCAUUGAGAUUUGGAAGGCCGUUGGGAUGGAUAUUGAUGGAGGGAAGGUGGAGUUUCUAUGGUCCUCGAAGGAGAUAAACUGAAUCAAGCUCAUGAGUACUAGCCUCUUGUGGUGGAUAUAGCACAAAGGAAUACGGUUUCAAGGAUAAAAAGGUGUGGUCACAUUAUGGGUCGAAGUGAUGAGGAAGAGUUCACUGCAGCACAAAUUUUCUACCCAUGCAUGCAAUGUGCUUAUGUGUUUUUUUCUUGAAGG